GUCGUUGAAUCGUCGGUGGCGUCGUCGACGGGCGCCUCGCUCUCGAUGGCGGUAUCCGUGUCCUCGCUCUCGGACGCGCUCGCGUCGUCGUGGUGCUGGGGCACGGGUUCCUUUUGCGCGGCGGCCGGAUGCUUUGUCUUGGUGCUCAUGAUGACGUGAGGACGAUGGCGCUGGAUGCUUGUCGUGUGGCGGUGGUGCGGUUGGUGUGCGUCUCCCUUUUUUCCUCGCUCCUGUGGUCCUUUUGCCUCUUUUGUGCGGGGGUUUUUCUUACUCUGGGCGAG
rnacentral:lncRNA from 1 species